rnacentral:lncRNA from 1 species
AGGUUUUGUUGAAGGAGAUGUCUGUGAUGCACAGACUGAGGGGGAGAACAAGCACAUAUAUGUGUUUAAUAUGUGUUUACUAGUUGCUAUGAUAGCUAGUAAAUAUGUGGUUUAUUACUUCUGCUGCUAAACUGCUGAUAUGUGUUUUUUAUUGUACUCUUGUGAACAAAUAGUCUGAUGUAUGUUUUAGCCAAAAUUUUCCAAAGGGGGAGUUUGUUGGUUCUAUAUGUUGG